UUUUUAACCCUUUUCCUCUCUGCACCCAGGCUCAAAGCAGGAGAAAAAGGACACCACUACCUCCGCCGAUCGAGCCGACCGCCUCCGCCGCCAAUUGACACCGGUGUUCACAUCCCCUCGAUCACAUCUGCCUGUUCAACCGUUCCCAGCUCCAUUCGUCAGUUCCUUACUCCGACCCAAUCCCAUCGCGCCCCCAAGGAAACCCUAGCUCGCGUGGCGAUGGCAACAAGGAAGAAGCAACUCCGGUGCGGAUCAGGGGAAGCAAAAAUCUUCCGCUACCCUAGCGCUUGCACGGAUCUACCCUCCGCAGACCUAGGCUGCCUCGCGGUCCAGACUACUGAACCCCAUGACCACCAGGCGCUCAUGGUCACAGACUCACAGGAUUAUAUCGAUGAUGAGGACAGCGACGAGUACGGGGAGACAAAUUGCCCAGGCGAAAACUACUCCGAGGAAGAAGUAUAUCAAAUUACAGACAGAUGGAUAGAGACUUCAAAUAAACAGUUUGAAGACUACUGGAAACUGCAUCAGAAUAUUCUAGCUAGCGGUGAUAAAAAUGCGCGUCUACCUUUUUUCCUUGGAAAGUACUCCCUGAGGUGACAUUUUUAUGCAUUGAAAGGAGCUUGCGCUACCACCGCGAAUACAAGACCCAUGACACUUCCACGACUGCAUCAAUUCUCGGAUAUCGUGAGCCAAGAGUCAUGCUACAAGUCUUCUCUCUGCGUUUGGCAAGCUGUGAAUCAUAUCCCGUUAGUGUUUAUGGAGUAUUCGCCGUUCGAGAUGAGUUGGAACCACUGCGUAAUCUUGUCUUUAACUGUCCCAGAGUUGAUGCUAUCACAAUUGAGCAGCAGGGUUCCUUGACCUUGCCCCUUUGUAGCCCCUGUCGAGGGAUGUAUGUACUUGAUCAUGCAUUACUAGAAGUUGAUCUAUGGGUAAAGAAGGAAGGGGAUGGAUCGGCUGACAAAAAAUUACUCUCUGCAUAUGUUGAGAUUUUUGUACGGUCAAAUUAUGAUUUAUUUCGAGGCGGACAGAUUUCUGGUGAUAGUUGCAGCUUGGAGGUGGACUACAUGUUUGUUUCAUCAAGUAUUGAGGCUGUAAUUCAAGUCUCUGCAAAGGUUGACCAUCGUCAUCAUAUGAGAUUCACCGCUUUCAGCACUGGCUUUGAUCAAGAGAUUGUGCUGUUUGAUGACAAAUUCUUUCGGAAUGGUAACCUAAAUCAGCAUGUCGUCGCAGUUAAGGAGAAGGGAAAACUGGAUGUUUGCUUAAAAUUGGAGAAAGUAAUGUAUAAGUGGUCUUUUCAAGAUGGAGUAGUUGGAGCUGUUAGUGCUCCAGAUGACUCAAUAUUAAAGUAUGGCAAGUUUUCUGUGAAGGUGUUAUUUGCUCCAAAGGACUUUCAACGUAAGUGGCCUAAGAUGUGAAGAUGUGAAAAGAAGUGAAGAAGACUUCCAUGCUUUAGUAAGCACUGACGUUCAGUUAUAAACACCAAACAAGAAGUAACAUUACUAGUUCUGUUCCAGCUAAAGAAGGCUUAAUUCCCUUGUGUAAGCCCUAUUGUGACAACAGAAAUGACGUGUGUGGUCUGGAUAUGAUAAACUGCCGGGGACCUAAAUAUAUUGUUGCAUAUUCUGUGCUUGUGUGGAGCACUGUUUAGCUUCCUUGUGUAAGACCUGUCGCGACAACAGAUGUGACGUG